UACGUAGGGGGCUAGCGUUGUCCGGAAUCAUUGGGCGUAAAGAGCGUGUAGGCGGUCCGGUAAGUCCGCUGUGAAAGUCGGGGGGCUCAACCCUCGAAUGCCGGUGGAUACUGUCGGGCUAGAGUGCGGAAGAGGCGAGUGGAAUUCCUGGUGUAGCGGUGAAAUGCGUAGAGAUGUGGAGGAACACCGAUGGCGAAGGCAGCCUCCUGGGCCAGCACUGACGCUCAUGCACCGGAAAAGCGUGGGGAGCAAACAGG
rnacentral:rRNA from 1 species